GACGAGAAGACCCUGUCAAACUUUAGUAUAGGGUGAAAUCUGUAGUUAUUUACUUAAUUUUGUUUAAUAUUUUAGUUGGGGCAACUUAGAAGGAUAAAUACUUUUAUGACACGGUAUUGUAAUUUAUAGGUGAUUUUAUCCGAAAUAAUUGUGACACACAAGUAAUUUAGAUUUUUGAAUAUAGAAUAAGUUACUGG
rnacentral:rRNA from 1 species